GCCAGUGUGGUGUAGUGGUUUCAUGUUGGAUUAUGAUUCUGGAGAUGAGGGUUCAAAUCCAUGCUUGGCCA
rnacentral:tRNA from 1 species